rnacentral:rRNA from 1 species
UACGGGGGAUGCAAGCGUUAUCCGGAAUUAUUGGGCGUAAAGGGUCCUGAGGUGGCUAGCCAAGUCUAUUGUGAAGUAUCAGGGCUUAACCCUGAACAUGCGGUGGAAACUAGUAAGCUUGAGUACAGUAGGGGCGGAGGGAAUUUCCGGUGGAGCGGUGAAAUGCAUAGAUAUCGGGAAGAACACCAACGGCGAAAGCACUCCGCUGGGCUGAUACUGACACUGACAGACGAAAGCUAGGGUAGCGAAAGGG